CACCAGCAUGUGAAGCCCUUCAGGAAUCACUGAUGGUUCAGGCUCUCUGGCAGGUAGCUGAAGAGGCAAGCAUGAAUGACUGGAUCUGGGUAACGAGAAGGAAGAAUGGAUGACUUACAAGGGAUCGGGACAGUAUUGUGGCUGGGGUAGUCUCCUCCCCUUCAGCAGGCUUUCGAUGGCCAUCCACUUGACAGGCAGCUUUGCUUUCCGGUGGUCCUGGAUACUGUAAUACUCCUUAUCAAAGACAUCCCGU